AAGGACCAAAAAAAAAAAAAAAGCCAGACAUAAGGAAGUUUCUAAGUUAAAUAACCCAAUGAAAAUAAUGAGAAAAUUCCUAAUUAAAAUAAAAAGUUCUUUCAUAAUAUAUUUCCUUUGUGGAAGUUAUGUGAUGACCCCAAAUGGAAAAUUUUAUAAGAAAAAUGCCUAAUGAUCUCAAGUAGUCUAAACUUACCUUCCAUUUUCAUUUCUCUUCAACACUUUUAAUUAUAUCAAUUUUAUACAUAAACUUUUGAAUUUUUGACAAUUAAAUCCAAUAGGGGAGAGGUGUGCGUAAUUGAUGGCAUGAUGUUGACUUGGCAAGCUGAGGUGAAAAAGGGUUAGGUGGGAAAGUUUUCUUACCAUUUAGCUCCGCCUGGUAACUUAAAAAUGGCCAAACUCCUGUAGUUUCAACAAUGACUAUUGUGAAAAAAAUCACUGAAACAACAAUGUUUUGAUUGUUUUAAGGGAAACUUUUCUCA
rnacentral:misc_RNA from 1 species